rnacentral:pre_miRNA from 4 species
UCUUACGGAUGAGCAAAACAGUGGCUUCUUGAGAUGGAAUCUACUCCUGGUGAAGAUGCUGUGAA